rnacentral:misc_RNA from 1 species
GAUGAAGAACGUAGCGAAAUGCGAUACGUGAUGUGAAUUGCAGACUUGUGAAUCAUCGAAAUUUUGAACGCACAUGGCGCCCAUUAGUAUUCUUUUGGGCACGUCUGUUUGAGCGUUGUUAAUGAUUCGGGUAACUCCGGUUUCUGGGGGAGGUCGUAUAGCAUCAAGACCCCCCUGAAAAAUCACAGCAUUAAGGUGAUUGCUCACAACCCGGUGCAACGGGUGCUGCUGAGUGUGUCAAUCUGUUGCUGGUCAAACUUAAUUACUAUCUCUCUCAACCUCAAAUCAGACGGGAGUACCCGCUGAACUUAAGCAUAUCAAUAAGCGGAGGA